AAGUUACCAUUUUUUAAAGAAGUUUGGUUAAACAUUAGUUCUUUCCAUGGUUAACUUAAUUUUAGUUUCUACUUGCAGAAUAAAUGUUUUCAAACAGAAGUGAUUCAGUUAACAUACACUGACCUCCCUUGUGAUGUAUGUGAUACUUUUUGAAGGUGCUGGAGAGAUGGAAAUGAUACAUUCUUUUCCAUCUAGGGAUCUCACAAUUGUGUGGAGUUGAUGUACUGUCUGCAUAAGAAAUUAGAAUUUAAGAAAGACUCAUGACUCAGUAAUGUGGAAAAGAGAGUACCAUCGUUGAUUGACUGAUGGGAAGAUACCAUCCAAUGGGAGGCCAUGGCAAAAUCAAAGCCUCAUCUCUGAGAGACAUGUCCGUCUUCGUUUGGACCUUGGGGUUGAGUAGGAUAUCUGUUGGUAGAAAGGAGCAUUCAGGGCAAGGAGAAACCACACAGGCACAGGCAGGAAGGCCAGAUAAUGCGGAACAUUUUUUAAUGGAUAUUUGUAUCUUCAUCUCCUAGUCAUAAGGACUCAAUAAAUCUGUAGAAUAAAUACUUAUAAAAGUACAAGUAGUCUGUAGGGUGAGGCAGGAUAGGGUUUGGAUAACAAUAAUAACCUUUUUUGAGCAUUUUCUAUGUGCUAGGCAUUGUUCUCAGUGCUUUAUUAGUAUUAAUUAUUUCCUUAGAACAGCUUUAUUGAGAAGAUAGUACUAUGAUUCUUUUUUUUACAAAUGAGAUAGAGGUUACAAAUGAAAUAAACCUACUAAGUGGUAGAACUGGGAUUUACACUCUUACCAAUGUGCUCUUAAAGGGAGAAAGGAUGAAAAGGUGGUUUUCUUCUGAAUGCAAUUGACAGGGCAUUACAGGAUUUUGAGAAAGGAGUUACGAGGUUUUGGAUCUGUGUUGUAAAUAGGUGUAUUUUGGGAUUAAAGAUAAGGAGACCAGUUAGCCUCCAAGUGAGGUUGUCUGUGUCAGUUUAAGAAGUAUGAGAGGGUCUGAGCUAGGGCAGUAUAUGUGUGGAAAGGAGGGAUUAAUAUGAGAGGCCUUGAGAGGUGGAAAUGAGUUUGUCAGCUGAUUGGUUUUGUGCUGCUGGGCUGGGGAAAGGUGAUGUGGAACGAGGCUCCGAAUUCUCUGAACGACCUGGGAAGGUACCUGGAUUUACCAAGUUAGGAAGCCUGGAGAAAAGUGGUUUGUAUUUAAAGGACAUGUGAGUGUGGAUGUUUAGGGACGGUUCAAAGGGAAGGUUAGUGCUAUCAGUUGUAUUUGAUAAUGUCUAUGUCUUCAUUAUAUUUUUAAACAUGUGCCACAUUGAAUUUUUUUUCCUUCAAACCAGCACAUUUGCAGAACAUUGAAAGGGGGAACUGGAGAAGUGUCAGAGUGUUUUGUGUGAUUUGGAAGAAUUUCUUUUAUAAUGGAAAAUGGUUUCCAACUUUUUUAGAAUUCUAUAAGCCUGGUAAUAGUGCCUUUUUGAUAGGUGUAAGGUCAUGGAAAUGAUAGUCUAACACAUUGGCUGAUGGCUUUUCCACUUCUCUGGAAGAUUUUGCUAGUAGACUUAGAGCCCGGACCAGUGGAGCUGAAUUUUUCCUGGUGACUUUUAGAGUAGAAUCUGGAAUAGAAUAAAUACAUCUUAGUCUUGAUUGUCAGUGUUGACAAGAUAUUCACUUAGAGAUAUAUAAAUUGAAUUAAAGGAAUCAAAAAAGGAUCAGUGGUCAUGACUAGAGAUUAAGAUUGGAAGCAUCUGCAUGUAGAUAGUAACUAAGACCAUUUAAAUUUUUUGUUUGCAUAUCUGCAGUUAAGCAAAUAAAUGCUGUUCCUGUAUUUUUGAAUAAAUAAUUGCCUAUAGGGGAAAUACCACUAAAUACUGGUCUCAUUUGUUGGCUUUUUCAUUACUGUCCUUUCUUCCUGGGCUCUUAGUUCCUCAGCUGCCUCAAAUCACAGUUUAGUCUUUUUUUUUUUUUUUUUUUUUUGAGAUGGAGUCUUGCCCUGUCAUCCAGGCUAGAGUACAGUGGGGCAAUCUCACUGUACUGCAACCUCCACCUCCUGGAUUCAAGCGAUUCUCCUGCCUCAGCCUCCCAAAUAGCUGGGACUACAGGCACCCGCCACCACACCUGGCUAAUUUUUGUAUUUUUAGUAGAGAUGGGGUUUCACCAUGUUGGCCAGGCUGGUCUUGAACUCUUGACCUCAAGUGAUCCGCCCGCCUCAGCCUCCCAAAGUGUUGGAUUACAGGCGUGAGCCACGGCGCCCGGCGGGCAAGACACCCUCAGAGCACAGGGUGCUGCCAAGAGCCCAGCCGAGUGCAGCUCGAGCGCCGACGUCGCCAACGUUGCACACACUGCUGACGCAGUACACAAGUUCGUCACAGUGGUCCUCCGCCGGCGACGCCGCUGCGUCAGUGGCUUUCAGGCGCUUUCGUCUUGGAAUUGGCGACUGCUGCGGCGCUGAGCGCUGGUUUCACGCGUCUCGGGAGCCAGGUUGGCGGUGCGAUGAGGCGCAGCAAGGCCUACGAGUGGUACGUCCCCUCGAUGCAGGGCUCCGCCCCGUCGCCUCGAAAGGAGACAAUGAAAGGAUUCUAUUUUGCAAAGCUGUAUUAUGAAGCUAAAGAAUAUGAUCUUGCUAAAAAAUACAUAUGUAUUUACAUUAAUGUGCAACAGUGGGAUCCCAGAGCUCACAGAUUUCUGGGUCUUCUUUAUGAAUUGGAAGAAAACACAGAGAAAGCCAUUGAAUGUUACAGGCGUUCAGUGGAAUUAAACCCAACACAAAAAGAUCUUGUGUUGAAGAUUGCAGAAUUGCUUUGUAAAAAUGAUGUUACUGAUGGAAGAGCAAAAUACUGGGUUGAAAGAGCAGCUACUCUCUUCCCAGGAAGUCCUGCAAUUUAUAAACUAAAGGAACAGCUUCUAGAUUGUGAAGGUGAAGAUGGAUGGAAUAAACUUUUUGACUUGAUUCAGUCAGAACUUUAUGUAAGACCUGAUGACGUCCAUGUGAACAUCCGGCUAGUGGAGGUGUAUCGCUCAACUAAAAGAUUGAAGGAUGCUGUGGCCCACUGCCAUGAGGCAGAGAGGAACAUAGCUUUGCGUUCAAGUUUAGAGUGGAAUUCGUGUGUUGUACAGACCCUUAAGGAAUAUCUGGAGUCUUUACAGUGUUUGGAGUCUGAUAAAAGUGACUGGCGAGCAACCAAUACAGACUUACUGCUGGCCUACGCUAAUCUUAUGCUUCUUACGCUUUCCACUAGAGAUGUGCAGGAAAGUAGAGAAUUACUGGAAAGUUUUGAUAGUGCUCUUCAGUCUGCGAAAUCUUUGGGUGGAAAUGAUGAACUGUCAGCUACUUUCUUAGAAAUGAAAGGACAUUUCUACAUGCAUGCAGGUUCUCUGCUCUUGAAGAUGGGUCAGCAUGGUAAUAAUGUUCAAUGGCGAGCUCUUUCUGAGCUGGCUGCGUUGUGCUAUCUCAUAGCAUUUCAGGUUCCAAGACCAAAGAUUAAAUUAAUAAAAGGUGAAGCUAGACAAAAUCUGCUGGAAAUGAUGGCCUGUGACCGACUGAGCCAAUCAGGGCACAUGUUGCUAAACUUAAGUCGUGGCAAGCAAGAUUUUUUAAAAGAGGUUGUUGAAACUUUUGCCAACAAAAGCGGGCAGUCUGCAUUAUAUGAUGCUCUGUUUUCUAGUCAGUCACCUAAGGAUACAUCUUUUCUUGGUAGCGAUGAUAUUGGAAACAUUGAUGUACGAGAACCAGAGCUUGAAGAUUUGGCUAGAUACGAUGUUGGUGCUAUUCGAGCACAUAAUGGUAGUCUUCAGCACCUUACUUGGCUUGGCUUACAGUGGAAUUCAUUGCCUGCUUUACCUGGAAUCCGAAAAUGGCUAAAACAGCUUUUCCAUCAUUUGCCCCAUGAAACCUCAAGGCUUGAAACAAAUGCGCCUGAAUCAAUAUGUAUUUUAGAUCUUGAAGUAUUUCUCCUUGGAGUAGUAUAUACCAGCCACUUACAAUUAAAGGAGAAAUGUAAUUCUGAUCACAGCUCCUAUCAGCCGUUAUGCCUGCCCCUUCCUGUAUGUAAACAGCUUUGUACAGAAAGACAAAAAUCUUGGUGGGAUGCGGUUUGUACUCUGAUUCACAGAAAAGCACUACCUGGAAACAUAGCAAAAUUGAGACUUCUAGUUCAGCAUGGAAUAAACACUCUAAGAGCCCAGGAAAAACAUGGCCUUCAGCCUGCUCUGCUUGUACAUUGGGCAAAAUGCCUUCAGAAAAUGGGCAGCGGUCUUAAUUUUUAUGAUCAACAAGAAUACAUAGGGAGAAGUGUUCAUUAUUGGAAGAAAGUUUUGCCAUUGUUGAAGAUAAUAAAGAAGAACAGUAUUCCUGAACCUAUUGAUCCUCUGUUUAAACAUUUUCAUAGUGUAGACAUUCAGGCAUCAGAAAUUGUUGAAUGUGAAGAAGACGCACACAUAACUUUUGCUGUAUUGGAUGCAGUAAAUGGAAAUAUAGAAGAUGCUGUGACUGCUUUUGAAUCUAUACAAAGUGUUGUUUCUUAUUGGAAUCUUGCACUGAUUUUUCACAGGAAGGCAGAAGACAUUGCAAAUGAUGCCCUUUCUCCUGAAGAACAAGAAGAAUGCAGAAAUUAUCUGACAAAGACCAGGGACUACCUAAUAAAGAUUAUAGAUGACAGUGAUUCAAAUCUUUCAGUGGUGAAGAAAUUGCCUGUGCCCCUGGAGUCUGUAAAAGAGAUGCUGAAGUCAGUCCUGCAGGAACUCGAAGCCUAUAGUGAAGGAGGUCCUCUCUAUACAAAUGGUUCUUUGCGAAAUGCAGAUUCAGAAAUAAAACAUUCUCCACCGUCUCCUACCGGAUAUUCACUAUCACCAAGUAAAAGUUACAAGUAUUCUCCCAAAAUACCACGUCGAUGGACAGAAGAUCAGAUUUCUUUACUGAAAAUGAUUGGCCAACAAGUAGAGGCCAUUAAGAAAGAAAUGCAGGAGUCGCAACUAAAUAGCAGUAAGUCAGCAUCCCGUCAUCGUUGGCCCACAGAGAAUUAUGGACCAGACUCGGUGCCUGAUGGAUAUCAGGGGUCACAGACAUUUCAUGGGGCUCCACUAACAGUUGCAACUACUGGCCCUUCAGUAUAUUAUAGUCAGUCACCAGCAUAUAAUUCCCAGUAUCUUCUCAGACCAGCAGCUAAUGUUACUCCCACAAAGGGUUCUUCUAAUACAGAAUUUAAGUCAACCAAAGAAGGAUUUUCCAUCCCUGUGUCUGCUGAUGGAUUUAAAUUUGGCAUUUCAGAACCAGGAAAUCAAGAAAAGAAAAGUGAAAAGCCUCUUGAAAAUGAUACUGGCUUCCAGGCUCAGGAUAUUAGUGGCCAGAAUGGCCAUGGUGUGAUUUUUGGCCAAACAAGUGGCACUUUUACAUUUGCAGAUGUUGGAAAAUCAACUUCAGGAGAAGGAUUUCAGUUUGGCCAAAAAGACCCCAAUUUCAAGGGAUUUUCAGGUGCUGGAGAAAAAUUAUUCUCAUCACAAUGUGGUGAAAUGGCCAAUAAAGCAAACACUUCCGGUGACUUUGAGAAAGAUGAUGAUGCCUAUAAGACUGAGGACAGCGAUGACAUCCAUUUUGAACCAGUAGUUCAAAUGCCUGAAAAAGUAGAACUUGUAACCGGAGAAGAAGGUGAAAAAGUUCUGUAUUCACAGCGGGUAAAACUAUUUAGAUUUGAUGCUGAGAUAAGUCAGUGGAAAGAAAGGGGCUUGGGGAACUUAAAAAUCCUCAUAAAUGAGGUCAAUGGCAAACUAAGAAUGCUGAUGCGAAGAGACCAAGUACUAAAAGUGUGUGCUAAUCAUUGGAUAACAACUACAAUGAACCUGAAGCCCCUCUCUGGAUCAGAUAGAGCAUGGAUGUGGUUAGCCAGUGAUUUCUCUGGUGGUGAUGCCAAACUAGAGCAGUUGGCAGCAAAAUUUAAAACACCAGAGCUGGCUGAAGAAUUCAAGCAGAAAUUUGAGGAAUGCCAGCGGCUUCUGUUAGACAUACCACUUCAAACUCCCCAUAAACUUGUAGAUACUGGCAGAGCUGCCAAGUUAAUACAGAGAGCUGAAGAAAUGAAGAGUGGACUGAAAGAUUUCAAAACAUUUUUGACAAAUGAUCAAACAAAAGUCACUGAGGAAGAAAAUAAGGGUUCAGGUACAGGUGCAGCCGGUGCCUCAGACACAACAAUAAAACCCAAUCCUGAAAACACUGGGCCCACAUUAGAAUGGGAUAACUAUGAUUUAAGGGAAGAUGCUUUGGAUGAUAAUGUUAGUAGUAGCUCAGUACAUGAUUCUCCGUUGGCAAGUAGCCCUGUGAGAGAAAAUCUUUUCUGCUCUGAUGAGUCGACAACAGGAUCUGACUUCAGUUUUAAAUCUGCUUUGAGUCUAUCUAAGUCUCCUGCCAAGUUGAAUCAGAGUGGGACUUCAGUUGGCACUGAUGAAGAAUCUGAUGUUACUCAAGAAGAAGAGAGAGAUGGACAGUACUUUGAACCUGUUGUUCCUUUACCUGAUCUAGUUGAAGUAUCCAGUGGUGAGGAAAAUGAACAAGUUGUUUUUAGUCACAGGGCAGAACUCUACAGAUAUGAUAAAGAUGUUGGUCAAUGGAAAGAAAGGGGCAUUGGUGAUAUAAAGAUUUUACAGAAUUAUGAUAAGCAAGUUCGUAUAGUGAUGAGAAGGGACAAAGUAUUAAAACUUUGUGCCAAUCACAGAAUAACUCCAGACAUGAGUUUGCAAAAUAUGAAAGGGACAGAAAGAGUAUGGGUGUGGACUGCAUGUGAUUUUGCAGAUGGAGAAAGAAAAGUAGAGCAUUUAGCUGUUCGUUUUAAACUACAGGAUGUUGCAGACUCGUUUAAGAAAAUUUUUGAUGAAGCAAAAACAGCCCAGGAAAAAGAUUCUUUGAUAACACCUCAUGUUUCUCGGUCAAGCACUCCCAGAGAGUCACCAUGUGGCAAAAUUGCUGUAGCUGUAUUAGAAGAAACCACAAGAGAGAGGACAGAUGUUAUUCAGGGUGAUGAUGUAGCAGAUGCAGCUUCAGAAGUUGAAGUGUCUAGCACAUCUGAAACAACAACAAAAGCGGUGGUUUCUCCUGCAAAGUUUGUAUUUGGUUCAGAGUCUGUUAAAAGCAUUUUUAGUAGUGAAAAAUCAAAACCAGUUGCAUUUGGCAACAGUUCUGCCACUGGGUCUUUGUUUGGAUUUAGUUUUAAUGCACCUUUGAAAAGUAACAAUAGUGAAACUAGUUCAGUAGCCCAGAGUGGAUCUGAAAGCAAAGUGGAACCUAAAAAAUGUGAACUGUCAAAGAACUCUGAUAUCGAACAGUCUUCAGAUAGCAAAGUCAAAAAUCUCUCUGCUUCCUUUCCAACGGAAGAAUCUUCAAUCAACUACACAUUUAAAACACCAGAAAAGGGAUUUAAUUUUAGCCUUUUUAAAUCUAAUCCCAUGGCCUUUUGGACUAGCACCCCUUCCUCACAGCCUGAGAGCAAAGCAAAAGAGAAGAAAAAACCUGAAGAUUCUCCCUCACAUAGUCUCGGUCUCCUGACCUCGUGAUCCACCUGCCUCGGCCUCCCAAAGUGCUGGGAUUACAGGCAUGAGGCACUGCGCCUGGCUGACACAUGUCUUAAUUCUGGUAUUCACCAGAUUUGUUUCGUGUUCUCCGUCGUUAGUCAUCAAAUUUGUCUACUUUUUAAAUAGAAACAUUAGCUAGAGCAAGGAACUUAGAAACACUCAAGCGGCACUGAAUGUGUAGAAUUGCAUAACCAAUAUAGCUUCUUUGCUUUCACAUUUACAACUAGUUGGAGUUUUAGUUCAGCCGUACCCAGUAUCUUCCAUUCUGCUUCCAGGAAGAAAUGGAAAAAUGUCAGCCAUGAUGAUGCAGUAUUUUAGUAGCAAGUUGAUGGUGUUUUGGUUUCCCAUGGGAAAUAUUGUCACUGGAGCAUUAGCAGCUAUCGGUCACUUAUUAGGGUAAAAAAGCAACUUCAGAAGAAUUUAACAUAUGCCAAAGAAUCAACAAAGGAAGUAAUCAGCCAGGGCAAAGGUUGCACAAGAGAUUGUAAUCUAGCAAUCAGCACUGGAAUAAGCAGUCAGCUUACCAGAAACUCAGGAAAAUGCUUCAGAAAGGGCAGUCAGGACUAAGGCAAUUUAGUGAAAUGCAAAAUAAAUGAAAUCUGAAGUUUAAAAAUCUAGAUUACAAUUCUGGUUUCUAACUCAGUUAUGAGACCUUGGGCAAAGUCAUUAAAUUUCUCUGAACUUCAGAUUUUGGGGAGUCAAUAAACCAAUACAUGUCAAAGGGCCUGAUAAACUUGACAGUUUAGACCAGGCGUGGUGUCUCACCCCUGCAAUCUCAGCACUUUGGGAGGCCAAGGCGGGUGGAUCACAUGAGGCCACGAGUUUGAGACCAGUCUGAACAACAUGGUGAAAUCCCAUCUCUAUUAAAAAUACAAAAAUUAUCUGGGCGGGAUGGCAUGCACCCGGAAGUCCCAGCUACUUGUGGGGCUGAGGUGGGAGGAUGGCUUGAGCCUGGGAGGCAGAGGUUGCUGUGAGCCAAGAUCGUGCCACUGCACUCCAACCUGUGUGACAGAGUGAGACCCUGUCUCAGAAAAAAUAACACUUUACAGUUUAUCAGCAAACAGGAAAGUCUUGCUAGACAAUAUAAUUGAUUAGUUCCGUGCCCUGGAUUCUGGGCUCUUAACUGUAUGAGCACUGUAGGUGUGAGCAGCAACAAUUAAGAAGCUGCAGAGGUAAAGGUAUAAGGGCAGUGAUUGAGGAUGUCUACCAAGCAGAUUUCAGCAAGUGUGUUUCAAGAAGUAUGCAGCAAUCUGAAAUACCUAAUCCUGAAAAAUUGCUAGAAUCUAGUCUUUUAAUUUUGGCCAGCAUUUAGCAGUAGUUUGGCCCUCUACUCUAAAUUAAUAAAAAAUAAGUAGUACUAUAUUAUGAGCUGUGUUAUCUAACAGUUUAUCUUAGCUAGUAGCAAUUAAUUUAUAGCUUCUAUUAAAAUGACUAACGUAGUUAAAAGUUUGAUGACUAAGUUUUUUGUUGUUGUUUUUUUUUUUUUGAGCUGGCGUCUCGCUCUGUCGCCCGGCUGGAGUGCGGUGGCGUGAUCUUGGCUCACUGCAACCUCCGCCUCCUGGUUUCCAGCGAUUCUCUGCCUCAGCCUCCCCAGCAGCUGGGAUUACAGGCACCUGCCACCGUGCCUGGCUAAUUUUUGUAUUUUUAGUAGAGAUAGGGUUUCACCAUCUUGGCCAGGCUGGUCUUGAACUUGCUGACCUCGUGAUCCACCCACCUUAGCCUCCCAAACUGCUAGGAUUACAGAUUUGAGCCACCACGCCCGGCCUUGAUGACUAAAUUUUAAGAAAUGUUUUAGCAAUUCUUCAUACACCUUUCACUUAUCUUAUAGUUACUUAAUUCCUCUACUCUUAUCCUUUGAUAUUUUCAUUUUAUUGUGUAUCUCUGUAAGGCCGAAUCAAUAGAUUUUGAACAAUCUCACACUUAACCUUUAAAAAAAAUCUAAUAGGCCCAGUUUCCUCUCAACAAUCUUUGAAGAACCUUCGAGAAAGGAGAACACAGACCUCCCGCUUCUAGACAUGCACACUGUAACCCGAGAAGAGGGAGAAGGCACGGAGACAACUGAUACGGAGUCUGUGUCUUCCGCCAGCACAUACACACAGUCUUUAGAGCAGCUGCUUAAUUCUCCCGAAACUAAACUUGGUCUGUUACUCUGUCUAAAUAUGUUCUUCUUCUUUGAUUUCACAGUCUUAUUUAAUUACUAUUACUCUAAGGUACAUAUGCUUUUUUGGGCUGCUCCAAUGAAAUUUCUUUCAAUAUUCCACUACCUGUUUGUAUUAGGGUUCUCUAGAGGGACAGGGCUAAUUGGAUGGUUGGAUGGAUGGAUGGGAUGGAUGGAUGGAUGCUUAUUAAGUAUUACCUUACACGAUCACUAGGCCAUCUGCAGACUGAGGAGCAACGAGAGCCAGUCCAAGUUCCAAAACUGAAGAACUAGGAGUGUGAUGUUCAAGGGCAGGAAGCAUCCAGCACAGGAGAAAGAUAGCCUCCAUUAUGGCAUGCUGAAUUUACCAAAGAAGAAUUGGUUCAGAAGCUCAGUUCCAUCACAAAAAGUGCAGAUC